GAAACCUUGUCGAAGGACCAAGGGCGACCCGUGCAGGUGCACGACGCCAGCUCCCUUCUGGGGGGCGGGGGCUUGGGGGCUGCCAUGGCCCCCAGCCACCUGUCACAGUGUGAAGUCUGUAGUGUUUGAGCUUCUCAGAGUGGAAUGACUCCUUUUCCUUUCUGGCCCUCAGGGGGCCUCUCGAGGUCAACCUGUCCAACCCCUACCUCAGCUCUGUCUGCACUGAGAAACCUCCCUGGGUGAUGUCUGCAGUCUGUGCUGUCCGUGCCCCAGGCUGGGAGAGCUAUUUGGGGGGGGGAGAGGAGGCCAAGCAGAAUACACCCCAGAGUUAGGGUUUGCGACUCCGCCUCCCUGGGACCUGGAUUGGGUCAGAUGCCUGUCCUUGGAGGGGACGAGGUUGACUGCUUAGGGGGCGCGGUGCACAGGGCUGCCAGGCCUGGCCCCUCUCUGGGAAGGUUGAGAGCUGAGACGGGCAGCCCCGUCCCUUCCUCCAGAUCCGUCUGGUUUUUUACACCGUUUGUUAAUAAAGCCUGAAACUGCUG
rnacentral:sRNA from 1 species